rnacentral:misc_RNA from 1 species
CUCGGUAAAUUUACCAGGACCUAGUAGGCCAAAUAGCUUAAAAGAGAAUGUCGCUGUUGUGCCAGAUUCCCGGGUGGUGGAGAGUUGUGACAGAAGCCUCACAAAACGUCUGGUGAACAUGUUGGGAUCAAUAUCUGCACCUCCUGCUUAUGCUGCAGAACCAACUUCUUCUAGCAAAUCUGUGGGACUUAUGUCUGCAACUAAUUCUGCAAGCUCUUCCAUCCAUGUCACUGCUGGGAUGAUUCAGAUUCGUGGUUUUGAAGUGAUGGGCAGGGCCGAGCACUGGUCCAUGCAUAGAAAUGGAGACAUGGGUUUUCUCCUUUCAUGCGGUGUGGCAUCUAGGAAGUCUGAUGAUGGGUUUGAGACCGUUCCAAAAAUCAGGGGCUGGUCUAUGUCGGUGGUACUGCGUGGUGG